rnacentral:rRNA from 1 species
CUGCGCCGAAGAUUCCCGGGGCUAAAGUAUGGAACCGAAGCUAUGGAUGCAUACGUAGGUAUGCGUGGUAGAGGAGCGUUCCCAUCGGGUUGAAGUCGUCCUGGAAGGGACGGUGGACUGGUGGGAAGUGAGAAUGUUGGCAUGAGUAGCGAAAAGAAUGGUGAGAAUCCAUUCCACCGAAAGCAUAAGGAUUCCUGAGCAACGAUCGUCGUCUCAGGGUAAGUCGGGACCUAAUCCGAGGCAAAGAGCGUAGGAGAUGGACAACUGGUUGAUAUUCCAGUACCGGCAGUGAUCGUUUGAACGAAGGAGUGACGCAGGAAGGCAGGUCCGCACGAGAUUGGUAGAUCGUGUGCAAGCGUGCAGGCUGGUUACCAGGCAAAUCCGGUAACUGAGGCUGAGGCGUGAUGCGGAGGGAACUUGUUCCCGAAGGGAUUGAGCCUACGCUGCCGAGAAAAGCUUCUAGUGAGAAAGCUGCCGCCCGUACCGUAAACCGACACAGGUAUGCGGGGAGAGAAUCCUAAGGUGCGCGGGAGAACCCUCGUUAAGGAACUCGGCAAAAUGUACCCGUAACUUCGGGAUAAGGGUAGCCACAAAGGUGAAGGGACUAGCUCCCGGAGCCCGGUGUGGUCGCAGAGAAGAGGCCCAAGCGACUGUUAACCAGAAACACAGGUGCCUGCGAAAGAGAAAUCUGAAGUAUAGGUGCUGACACCUGCCCAGUGCUGGAAGGUUAAAGAAGGAUGUCCGGGUUCGACCCAAAGCAUUCGACUGAAGCCCCAGUGAACGGCGGCCGUAACUAUAACGGUCCUAAGGUAGCGAAAUUCCUUGUCGGGUAAGUUCCGACCCGCACGAAAGGUGUAACGAUUUGGGCACUGUCUCAACGAGGGACCCGGUGAAAUUGAAAUACCUGUGAAGAUGCAGGUUACCCGCGACUGGACAGAAAGACCCCAUGGAGCUUUACUGUAACCUAAUAUUGGGUUCUGAUACUUGAUGCACAGGAUAGGUGGGAGGCACGGAAGGCAGUCCUCUGGGAUUGCCGGAGCCGACGUUGGGAUACCACCCUUCAAUUAUCGGGAUUCUAACCGAGCGAGUAACGAUCGCCGGGACAGUGUUAGGCGGGCAGUUUGACUGGGGCGGUCGCCUCCCAAAGAGUAACGGAGGCGCCCAAAGGUUCCCUCAGCGCGGACGGAAACCGCGCGCGGAGUGUAAAGGCAGAAGGGAGCUUGACUGCGAGCCAAACACGGCGAGCAGGUACGAAAGUAGGGCUUAGUGAUCCGGUGGCAUCCAAGUGGAAGGGCCAUCGCUCAACGGAUAAAAGCUACCCUGGGGAUAACAGGCUAAUCUCUCCCAAGAGUCCAUAUCGACGGGGAGGUUUGGCACCUCGAUGUCGGCUCAUCACAUCCUGGGGCUGAAGUCGGUCCCAAGGGCUGGGCUGUUCGCCCAUUAAAGUGGUACGUGAGCUGGGUUCAGAACGUCGUGAGACAGUUCGGUCCCUAUCCAUCGCGGGCGCAAGAGAUUUGAAGGGGGCUGCUCCUAGUACGAGAGGACCGGAGUGGACGGACCGCUGGUGUACCAAUUAUCCCGCCAGGGGUACAGUUGGGUAGCUACGUCCGGAACGGAUAAACGCUGAAAGCAUCUAAGCGUGAAACC